GGUAUUGAUAUGCUUGUAUGAUAAAGUGUUCAUUUUAUAUCCUCACAGUUCUCGUACAUAUGGGAAAUAAUAAUUUCAUGUUGGGCUUGAUUUUGAUAAGAAAUAUUUUACAUUUCAAGAUAUGUUUAAGCAUUUGAUUAUGUUACUGUUUUCUUUAUGUGACAUGUUUAUGGCCUAAUUAACACAUUUGAUGGUCUUUAAUCUGUUGAUCACUUUACCUUGAGUUAAUAAGUGUUGACACUACGAUUUAUACGGGUCACUGUUUACUUAGCAAUUUCCUUCAAUCCAGACUAAGUGUAAUCGUCGUUUCUAAGGCUUCAAUUUUUCAUUUUUUUUUUAGAAAACUUAAAUCCACGAAUUUAAAAACCCACGAACAUGUAAAUAUUCCUGAAACCACGAAAAUUGAUACCCACGAAUUAAAGUACUUUCACAGUAU
rnacentral:lncRNA from 1 species